GUGACACCCUUAUGGGGCAGGACUUGCUUCAGUGGGACUUUGGUGCUCACUGAGUCUCCCCCUUGAGUGUGUCUCU
rfam:Myotis lucifugus cont2.6546, whole genome shotgun sequence.